rnacentral:rRNA from 1 species
UACGAAGGGGGCAAGCGUUGUUCGGAAUUACUGGGCGUAAAGGGCGCGUAGGCGGCUCUGAUAGUCAGGCGUGAAAGCCCCGGGCUUAACCUGGGAACUGCGCUUGAUACUGCGGAGCUUGAGUUCGGGAGAGGAGAGUGGAAUUCCCAGUGUAGAGGUGAAAUUCGUAGAUAUUGGGAAGAACACCAGUGGCGAAGGCGGCUCUCUGGACCGAUACUGACGCUGAGGCGCGAAAGCGUGGGGAGCAAACAGG